rnacentral:rRNA from 1 species
UACAGAGGUCUCAAGCGUUGUUCGGAUUCAUUGGGCGUAAAGGGUGCGUAGGUGGCGCUGUAAGUCGGGUGUGAAAUUUCGGAGCUUAACUCCGAAACUGCAUUCGAUACUGCGGUGCUUGAGGAAUGGAGGGGAGACUGGAAUUCUCGGUGUAGCAGUGAAAUGCGUAGAUAUCGAGAGGAACACCAGUGGCGAAGGCGAGUCUCUGGACAUUUCCUGACGCUGAGGCACGAAAGCCAGGGGAGCAAACGGG